rnacentral:ncRNA from 1 species
UAUUAAUUGUUGAUGUGGCCAAGUAAGAAAGAAUAGUGAAACAGAGAAUAUAGCAAUUGCUGAGAGCUAUAUCACCGCUUCUUAUCUGAAACCUACCACGGAGAUGUUAUGCAAACAUAACCGAGUCGUUUUCGUUACAAAACGUUAGAGGGUUUUAAGGUUUUCUUAAAACUAAAUUCAAGGUGGUACCACGUUUAGUCGGCACAAAGACGUCCUUAUU